CUGCAAUGAUGACCAACUUAGGACACUUUUGAUGCAUUCAUGAAAACAAAUAAGUUGCGUAUUUCUGAGUGGC